GACGAACGCUGGCGGCGUGCUUAACACAUGCAAGUCGAACGGAAAGGCCCUGCUUUUGUGGGGUGCUCGAGUGGCGAACGGGUGAGUAACACGUGAGUAACCUGCCCUUGACUUUGGGAUAACUUCAGGAAACUGGGGCUAAUACCGGAUAGGAGCUCCUGCUGCAUGGUGGGGGUUGGAAAGUUUCGGCGGUUGGGGAUGGACUCGCGGCUUAUCAGCUUGUUGGUGGGGUAGUGGCUUACCAAGGCUUUGACGGGUAGCCGGCCUGAGAGGGUGACCGGCCACAUUGGGACUGAGAUACGGCCCAGACUCCUACGGGAGGCAGCAGUGGGGAAUAUUGCACAAUGGGCGGAAGCCUGAUGCAGCAACGCCGCGUGCGGGAUGACGGCCUUCGGGUUGUAAACCGCUUUCGCCUGUGACGAAGCGUGAGUGACGGUAAUGGGUAAAGAAGCACCGGCUAACUACGUGCCAGCAGCCGCGGUGGUACGUAGGGUGCGAGCGUUGUCCGGAUUUAUUGGGCGUAAAGGGCUCGUAGGUGGUCGAUCGCGUCGGAAGUGUAAUCUUGGGGCUUAACCCUGAGCGUGCUUUCGAUACGGGUUGACUUGAGGAAGGUAGGGGAGAAUGGAAUUCCUGGUGGAGCGGUGGAAUGCGCAGAUAUCCGGAGGGACACCAGUGGCCAAAGGGGGUUCUCUGGGCCUUUCCUGACGCUGANGAGCGAAAGCGUGGGGAGCGAACAGGCUUAGAUACCCUGGUAAUCCACGCUGUAAACGGUGGGUACUAGGUGUGGGGUUCCUUUCACAUUCCUCGGUUCCGUAGCUGUAGCUAACGCUUUAAGUACCCCGCGUGGGGAGUCCGCCCGCAUGGCUAAAACUCAAAGGAAUUGACGGGGCCCCGCACAAGCGGCGGAGCAUGCGGAUUAAUUCGAUGCAACGCGUAGAACCUUACCUGGGUUUGACAUGGAUCGGGAGCGCUCAGAGAUGGGUGUGCCUCUUUUGGGGUCGGUUCACAGGUGGUGCAUGGCUGUCGUCAGCUCGUGUCGUGAGAUGUUGGGUUAAGUCCCGCAACGAGCGCAACCCUUGUUCACUGUUGCCAGCACGUUAUGGUGGGGACUCAGUGGAGACCGCCGGGGUCAACUCGGAGGAAGGUGGGGAUGACGUCAAGUCAUCAUGCCCCUUAUGUCCAGGGCUUCACGCAUGCUACAAUGGCUGGUACAGAGAGUGGCGAGCCUGUGAGGGUGAGCGAAUCUCGGAAAGCCGGUCUCAGUUCGGAUUGGGGUCUGCAACUCGACCUCAUGAAGUCGGAGUCGCUAGUAAUCGUAGAUCAGCAACGCUGCGGUGAAUACGUUCCCGGGGCU
rnacentral:rRNA from 1 species